AUUGAACGCUGGCGGCAGGCCUAACACAUGCAAGUCGAACGAGUGGCGGACGGAUGAGUAAUGUCUGGGAAACUGCCUGAUGGAGGGGGAUAACUACUGGAAACGGUAGCUAAUACCGCAUACCAUCAGAUGUGCCCAGAUGGGAUUAGCUAGUAGGUGAGGUAACGGCUCACCUAGGAGACGAUCCCUAGCUGGUCUGAGAGGAUGACCAGCCACCCUGGAACUGAGACACUGUCCAGACUCCUAAGGGAGGCAGCAGUGGGGAAUAUUGCACAAUGGGCGCAAGCCUGAUGCAGCCAUGCCGCGUGUAUGAAGAAGGCCUUCGGGUUGUAAAGUACUUUCAGCGGGGAGGCGUUACCCGCAGAAGAAGCACCGGCUAACUCCGUGCCAGCAGCCGCGGUAAUUC
rnacentral:rRNA from 1 species